CCUACGGGAGGCAGCAGUGAGGAAUAUUGGUCAAUGGACGAGAGUCUGAACCAGCCAAGUAGCGUGAAGGAUGACUGCCCUCUGGGUUGUAAACUUCUUUUAUAAAGGAAUAAAACGAGGCACGUGUGCCUUUUUGCAUGUACUUUAUGAAUAAGGAUCGGCUAACUCCGUGCCAGCAGCCGCGGUAAUACGGAGGAUCCGAGCGUUAUCCGGAUUUAUUUGGUUUAAAGGGAGCGUAGAUGGGUUGUUAAGUCAGUUGCGAAAGUUUGCGGCUCAACCGUAAAAUUGCAAUUGAUACUGGCAGCCGUGAGUACAGUUGAGGUAAGCGGAAUUCGUGGUGUAGCGGUGAAAUGCUUAGAUAUCACGAAGAACCCCGAUUGCGAAGGCAGCUGACUAAACUGUGACUGACAUUGAUGCUCGAAAGUGUGGGUAUCAAACAGGAGUAGAUACCCUAGUAGUC
rnacentral:rRNA from 1 species